CAGUUGAACGUCAUAAACAAAAAUCUCUUGUUUUUGCGAAUACGUUUAUGUUUUAAAUUUUGAAUUAAAACUGAAUAGUGAAUAGCGGAUUUAAUGGAUAUAUGGUUUAAAGUGUAUGUAUUUUAAAUAUCAUGUGAAUUUAUCUAUUCAAUUCUACAAGAAAUGGGUGGUUGUACAGCUGUAAAGCGUUCAAAUACACGUAGUAAAGGUUUUCGUCUUUUUCGAUUUCCUAAAGACCCUAAAAUACGAAAAACUUGGUUACAAAAUUGUCGCCGUGUAAAAAUAUAGGCAUUAGAUAUAAAUAUCGUAAUAUAAUAAAAUAUAAUUUUAUAUCUUAUCCAUAUUCCAAUGGAUCCAUUUUGAAGAAGGACAAUUUGAACAACAUCGUCAGGAUGGUGUAAAAAAACUCAAGCCAAAUGCUAUACCAACACUGUUUGAUAUACCAAAUCCACCUCGCUUGUUGAAAACCAAAAGAAAAUCUUUGUAUGAGGUAACUGAGUCUAAAGAUUCUGAUUUGGCCCAUUAUCAAUCAAUAUUGUUAAAAGAGAAGCAAGAAUUGUUUUUUGUUCAACAAGAAAAUAACAACUUGAAAAUAAGACAUCAGAACUAUUGAAGGAAAAAAUAAAUUGUUAUCAUUACAAAAAAGAAAUUAUUGGAAUCAAAAUUACAAAUGGUCCAUGAAGCUUUGGAUGAGAUUAUGUACAGUUGAAAAACAAUGACAGCUUUGUAAAGUAUUAGAGUAAACAAAUAGAUAUAGUUAAAUAUAAAUUAUGUAUUUAAGUACCAAAUUUUUAUUUGAUGUAUUUUAUCAGUGUUGUAAAGUAUUUAAUUUUAUUUUAAACUAGUUUAGUAAUAGGUAUAUUAUUAUUAAUUUAUCACAUACAUUUUGAAAUAAUAAGUACAAUAACAUAAUAAUACAAUAACUUAACAGUUUUAUUAAAUUAAGUUAUGCAGCUUAA